GGCUAUGUGGUACCUAGACUUUGACUACAAGGUCUGGGAAUAGUUGAUAAGACUAAAAGAAAAAGAAAAUGUCUACGAUACAGUGAGUGGGCAUACAGCAUGAAAAUAAGAAAAUAGUCUUUAAUUAUAGGAGUGUCAGUGUUCUCAGUAUCCACUCCAUCCAAUUCCCAACGUUUGUAUCCUCCAUUCCAAAAAAUAUACAAGCAAAAUUAAUCACAACAGUGGCCAUGUGUGAAAAUAAAUGUUUCAUUCCGUACCUGUAGUCCACCAUGUCUCUGCUAAGAUGCUUGUCAUCCUCUGAAGUCAGAAUAAGAUCUUCUUGAGCAACUUUUGUCUAGGAAACAAGUUUUACUCAACUGAUUGGGGAAUCUCUGAACAAACAGUGAUGUAUGAAGGGAGUGUUAUUGUGACAUUGAAACCUACAAGUCUAUAAGUUGAAAAAA